UUACCUGUGAUCCUCAGAUGAAGGGUGUUACAGAAAUUGGAUAAAUAAUAAUGAUACGGGAAGCUGCUUGGAGCAGUAAGUUGUAUAAAAGAAGAUUCAGUUCAGUUCAGAGAACUUGGGUGCCUGGAAGGGAGAGGCUGAUGGCAAAUACUUUAACCCAUUCACACCACCAUGUGUGGAAAGCACCACAUUUGCACUGAGGGAUUAUCCUUUGACUAAGGUUAUGGGACAGACUAUAUACAAUGCAUUGAAAAAUCAGAUUUGGGGCUUUUGGGGGAGAGAUGGCUUCCCACUAGUGAAGGUUGGCAGUAUUCUUUAUGGAAGAAUUAGUGAUCGAGGGUCAAUUCAUUCUGUUAUUUAAAACUGAGAAUUUGUCUCUUCUUCUCCACCUCCUCCCUUGAGCACACAAGGAGCACUUUAAUGUCAGGGGAAACCAAAGCUGUGCGUUACUUAUGGACCCAGGGAACUAUGGUUUGUUCUACCCAAAAAGUUUGUGUAAAGAAUUGAAGCGUGCUCUGUUAUCUUGGUUUGUUAAGUAUUGUGCCACAUUCAUACUGUACAAUUAAAGUACUGUGAUGCCACCCUUCAAUUCUACAAUCCUAUUCUGUGUCCGACCCCUUGCAAUGCAGGAAUAUGCAGCUAUCAUAGUGCUUUAAAUAUGUGCUGUGAAUGUAGCAUGCAGAUGUCUUCCAGCUGUUCCUGGACAUGGUGUCCUUGUACAUAAUCUCUGGCCCUCGAUCACGUUAGUUGUGCCUGAUGGGAGUCCUGCCAAGUCGGAAUUGCAUCCUGUUGGUUAAACCCCUAAUUUGAGAACCUAGAAUACUAGAAGGCUUGCAGAUGCCUGGAAGGAAAUAAUGGUGCUUGAAUGCCUGAAAAUGACGGCUAAGAGGAUGAGGGGUAUUGUAAGAGCUGGUUAAGAUAUUUCUCUUGUAUAUUUUUACCGUUUUUCGUCUUGUGUAGCUAACCAAUCAUUCAGCCACAUUCUCUAGCAGUGAUGGAGAGACUGAGGCACCGUCCAGAAGUUGUUGGACUCUAAUUCCCUUUAGCCAGUAUGGCCAUGGGUGAUGGGAGUUGUAGUCCAGUAUCAACUGGAGGGGGGCCCAGGUCCCGCAGCCCUGCAGUGUAGGAGUUUCUGUGUGGGAAAUAGAAGGGGAAAGCAAGUGUGGGGAACCUUUGGCACUGCAUUGUGUUGCUAAACUUCAACUCCCACUAUCCCUGGCUAUUGGCCGUACAUACUGAUACUAAUGGGAGUAGUAGUUCAGCAAAUAUCUGGCUGGGGGGCAAGGGUUCCCCACACUUGCUAUCAAUGCUGGUGGCAAGUGAAUGCAGGAGGAUGUAUUGCUAGUUGUCAAGGACCAAGGGCCCGAUCCACUGGAGAUGCAGUCAUGCAACAAACAUAUACUUGUGUUCAUAUUCACAGAUAGUGUCAAUAACCAGGAGCACUGUUGGAGUGCUUUUCACUGAAGCCUCUUAAGAUGCUAAAACAUGUUCACACAAAAAAUGGGUUUUGGUUCUCAGACCAGUCCUAGGAGAAAAUGAAUGUGACUUGGCGUAUUUUUCACAGAUUUCAGAGGUCUUUUUACAACCUGUUCCAUUAGGUUGAACUGUGUGGGUUGUUUUUAAGGAAAGGAGAUACACACAGAGUUUUUUCUAUUUGCACGUUAGAAUUACUUGUGUAAGUAUCUGGUUUCUUUGCUAGAACUUGACUAGAGUUGCCAACUGACCAGAGAAGGAACCUUGCCAAGACUGUUCCUGCGCCUUUUUAACAGCCGCUUGUGCAGAAAUCAGCAGGUACAAAGCUUACACAUGAUCAUUUCCUUAUGGCAGAACUCAUGCAUCAUGGCAAACCACAGUUUGCCAUCAUAAGCUGAUUGAGCUUGCUUCACCCCUCUCCACUAAUGGGCAGAGCAGACCAGUCAUGACCAGCAGCUUAGUGUUAUGAUCGAACCAUAGAUUGUAGACAAGGUUCGUUAUUGACUACAGGCUGUGGUUUGUUUCGGAGUGAAACAAACCAUGAACUCCGCUUCAGAUGUAACAUUAAGUGAGUGAUUGUGGUUUGUUACUCUUAAGCAUGAGAGUGGAGGGGCACAGCAGCCGCUAUCAGCUCAUGAAUUGAACGGUUUCCUUUAUCUCUUUUUAAAGGACAUUCCUGUUAAACAUGAAGCUAAUGAAUGUAACAUUUGUGCCUAAUCUGUUUCUUUUUAAAAGAUUUCAUUUUCCUUAAUUGUAAAAUAUUUGUUGGGAGUUUGUUUUGUUUUGUUGUGCUGCAUAUCUCACGUCUUUUGCAAUUUAAUUUAAAUCUCUUUUUUUCGUAUCCCAUUAAGGUUUCGGCAUUCAAAAUCAAAUAAAUCUUUCCUUCAUUAACAAA